rfam:Moniliophthora roreri strain MCA 2952 kmer90.96798, whole genome shotgun sequence.
GGCCGACUAGCUCAGUUGGUUAGAGCGUCGUGCUAAUAUCUAGCAGCAUAAUAGUGGUGAUACUACGCGAAGGUCUUGGGUUCGAUCCCCACGUUGGCCA